GAUGAAGAACGUAGCGAAAUGCGAUAAGUAAUGUGAAUUGCAGAAUUCAGUGAAUCAUCGAAUCUUUGAACGCAUCUUGCGCUCCUUGGUAUUCUGAGGAGCAUGCCUGUUUGAGUGUCAUUAAAUUCUCAACUACACUGACUUUGAAUUGGUGUGGCUUGGAUUUGGGUGGGAAAAUUGUUGUGGGCUUUUUGUAUAGUCUGCUUCCCUGAAAUUGAUUAGCGGUACCUUUGUGGAACUGUCUACAGGUGUGAUAAUUAUCUACAUCCUAGACAUCUGCUGGAAUGCUGCUUUCUAAACCUUACUUGUAUUGACAAUCUUGACCUCAAAACAGGUAGGACUACCCGCUGAACUUAAGCAUAUCAAUAAGCGGAGGA
rnacentral:misc_RNA from 1 species